rnacentral:rRNA from 1 species
GAUGAACGCUGGCGGCGUGCCUAAUACAUGCAAGUCGAGCGAACGGACGAGAAGCUUGCUUCUCUGAUGUUAGCGGCGGACGGGUGAGUAACACGUGGAUAACCUACCUAUAAGACUGGGAUAACUUCGGGAAACCGGAGCUAAUACCGGAUAAUAUUUUAAACCGCAUGGUUAAAAAGUGAAAGACGGUCUUGCUUUCACUUAUAGAUGGAUCCGCGCUGCAUUAGCUAGUUGGUAAGGUAACGGCUUACCAAGGCAACGAUGCAUAGCCGACCUGAGAGGGUGAUCGGCCACACUGGAACUGAGACACGGUCCAGACUCCUACGGGAGGCAGCAGUAGGGAAUCUUCCGCAAUGGGCGAAAGCCUGACGGAGCAACGCCGCGUGAGUGAUGAAGGUCUUCGGAUCGUAAAACUCUGUUAUUAGGGAAGAACAUAUGUGUAAGUAACUGUGCACAUCUUGACGGUACCUAAUCAGAAAGCCACGGCUAACUACGUG